AGAUAAGUAUCUAUUUUUCUCGUUUUGUAUAUUUCACAUACAUAAAUUUUAUCAGAAAAGUAUAAGUUUCAAACCGCGAGAUAGCGCUACCGUCGAAACUCACAGCCAAUUGGGUUGUUUCGGGAGAGAUUAAAUGUCCAGCAAACGACGGCAAUGUUGCCAGAUUCCUUUUAGCGGGAAUUUUAAAAUUUUAUAGCAGGUUUGUUUUAAAUUUGACAGUUCUGUUUUCUCAAGUCAAAAAUCUUAACCUUACUUUUACAAGUGAUUAGGAUUAUUAUUAUUAUUUUAUUUACAUGUAAAUUGAAACAAUAAAUAUUGUGCUGUGUCAUAAUUUCAAACUCAUUAUGUUGCAGUCUUUUCCAGUUGAUAAAAUUGCAAUUCAAAAACUUUUAGGUAGAUUUGCACUGUAUGGAUGGCACAGGAAGAGAACAAAGAGUACAAGAACAUGAAACAUCUUAUUAUGAAUGUAUAUGUAUGUGAUCCUCAAAAAAUUAUUUUACAAAACAAGAUAGAGAAAGAGCUUUAAAAUCCCAAGGAUCCUGCAAAAUGUUUAUUUGGUGUACUAGUCGAAUAAUAGUAUCUAAAAAUAUUGAAACUAUUUUAAAACACAUUACGGGCAUGAGGAUGAUAUAGAGCACUUACAUAAAUACCAAAAUCAGAUAAAUAUCUCUUCAAAGUUUAUUUUGAGACUUUCUUCAAAAAUUAAACUUCAGACUGUUCAGGAUAGCAUAAUAGCAUAGGAGGCGAAUUAAAAAGAAUUGAUUUACUUACAAAGAAAAGAUAUCACAAACAUUAAACUCUCUUAUGGCAUUGAUUUCAAAGAUGGGUAUAUGUACAAUGAUGAUGCAACCAGUGUUUAUUUUUGGGUUGAAUGCUUACAGACUUAUGUCCAAUAUUAUUUUACAAACAACAGGGCAUACUAAUGGAUAUUCAUUCUGAAUUUAACAUUUAUGAUUUUUGUCUUAUUUUCCUUAAUACUGUGCCAAAAGGAAAUGUUAAUUAAGUUUGGUAAAUCCUGUAUCGCAAUCGAUGGAACUCAUGGGCUCAAUUCCUAUGACUUUGAACUUAUGACAGUAUUAGUAAAAGAUGAAUUUGGGAAUGGAUUUUGUACUGCUUUCUUAUUUUCAAAUAGAAAAGAUACCUACUUUAAUUUACCAAUUUUUUUAAAUACAUGUCUGUGUUGGUAUUAUAGUCAAAUGUUUUCAUAUCAGGCAUAAGCGACACCUUUUACAACGCCUCGUCAAAUGUAAUGGGUAUUGCUCCUAAUAGACUGUUAAGUGCCUGGCACAUAGAUAAGGCAUGGUAAGUAAAUCUUAAUACAAUAUCUGAUUCUGAAAAAAAUCCUAUUAUGUAUACAGGAUGUAUUAAUGAUGGUUUAGAGAGUAUUAAUAGCUUUUUGGGUAGACUUCUAAGUGAUGCAGAUACAUACAAUUUUAGUAAGUAUUUCCAGUAGAACUACUGCAAUAACAUCCAACAAUGGGCCUAUUGUUAUAGGAAGGGGUUGUGGAAUUAAUACCAAUAUGACCAUUCAAAAUUUUCAUAAAAUUUUGGAUAAAAGGGUAUCCAUUAGUUGUUAUCAGUUAAGUUUAAAACUUGGCACUCAUGGAGAGCUAUACCAUAAUAUAUAAUAGGUAUAUCUCAUAAUAUUACAUCUCAUAUUGUUCACUACAGUAGUAAUGAGUGAGCCUGCAUACACAGAACCAUAAUAAUAUAUUAGUUCGUGU
rnacentral:lncRNA from 1 species